rnacentral:sRNA from 1 species
CCAGAACCAGAACCAGACCUGGGUUACCAGGAUAUGUGCAGGGAAUGCCAUGCCAUCUGCCUCUUCUUGGAGUACACAGAUUAAAGCUAACAGGAGAAGAAGUGUACUAUGGGGAAUGCUCCCACAGGAGCUGGGGACUACAUUCAUGCUGGGCCUGGGCUUUCCAAUUACUCUUCUUCAUUGGCAGAUGACACAAGAUCACAAGAGGGCUGCCAUCCUGAACUCCAUUGCCCACAAACACAACCUGUGUGGAAAGACAGAGGAGGAGAUUCAUGUGGGCAGUAUGGAAAAAUCAAGUUAUGGACACCUACAUGAAUCUUAUGUUCUGUGACAAAGUUGAAUGUGAGAAGAAGCCAGAGUACUUACUGGAUCUCCCUGCAAGGAUGAAGUUCUGUUUCAGAUUCCUGAGGAAGCAGCCACAGAUGCUGUGAUGAGACAACCUUUGUGGAUUAACUUAACUAUGACUGUUUUGUCUUGACCAGGAACAUGGUUAAACUGAAAUUCCUAGACAUAUUCCUAACCCCUGAAGGACUUAAUGGCCCUCUUUGGAGGAUUAUAGAAGAUCUUUACACACAUGAAAUACAGCCACUUCUUUUCAGUCUUUCUGUAUUUGAAGACAACCCUAUGGGAUAAUCAUGAGACCCUGUAAUACCAAGCAGGAGGAGAAAUCCUUGACUAUGCUUGCUCGCCCUUGUAGGGCACAGUUGGGUCCCUGCAUCCCUGGACACAAGUCUCUGGACAAAAUGACUAUGGCAGAAAUAUCAAGUAAAGAGUGAUGUUUGUGCUAAGAAAAUAGAUAUCUUCCAGGAAAGAGAGGAGGUAAAGAAGACUUUGUGACAUCAGCUGUUCUUGGAUCUCAAGCUUGCUGGCCUUCAGCCUAGAACUUCACUGUUCUGAUCCUCCUUUCAGCUCACCCACAGCACUGACCUGUGUCCACCGUCCACCCUGCAAGAGAGCUGCUAGAAUCAAGAGCAUGGUUAUCAGUGAAGAUCAAAGACUCAUCUUUUGGGUUUGUUGGUGUUCCCACUUGCCAACUAUCUUGAAAAUUGUAUUUCUGGUCAUUUUGGAUCUUUGAAUUCUGACUGGAUAGUGUCAUGAUACUUGAGAAGGCUGUGAGAACUAUGUUAAUCAUAGGCCUACUAAACUGUCUUAUGGGGUUAUGCUACGUGUUCCUUACAAGCAUGCUACAAGCUGAUCCAAAAUUUCCAAUACUACCUAGAGAUUUUCAGGAAAGAGGGAUACAUCAGUAUAUAUUAGUAUAACCCUCAGAAGCCUUAAAGCAAAUCUCACCUUCUAAAAAUAGCUUAAACUGCCUUCAUGAAAGAUUAUAGAAACUGAUUCAAAUGGGACGAGGAAUAUGCCCCUAACUCUGAGGAUGGAAUUCCAGUCCCCACUUCAUCUGAUCCCCAUUACAGCUGACCCACAACACCAACCUGUGCCCACCAUCCACCCUGCAAGAGUGCUGCUAGAAUCAACAGCAUGGUUAUCAGUGAAGAUCAGAGACUCAUCUUUGGGGCCUACUGGUGUUCGCAUUUGCCAACUACCUUGAAAAUUGUCAUUCUUCAUAAUUGAAUGAGCCAAUUCAUUAUAAAGUCAUUAUCUAUAUAUCAUA